GGGAGCUGCUGUUGCCGCGGUGGGAAGACGCAGAGCUUUCAGGCCAGCCCCGCGCGGCUCACGGCUUUUGUGGCUGGUGGCUGGUGGCUGCUGGUUGGGAGGCCCCGGAAGGACUUCUACUCCUCCGUAGGCUGGAGGGCACUAGGAGGUCGCAGGUGCUGAGCUGCCGGGGCCUUUGGGCUGUGCUGAAGGGGAAAAGCGCAGCCACUGUCGGGAGUGUGUGCUGUGGAGGCAGUUGCCGCGGUGAUGUUCGCUCCGCCUGGCCCCUGCCGGGGAUUCAGCCAACCAACCCUCAACAGCCGGCGGCGGCUCAGUCUCUGGCCCGGCGCGGUGCUGAGCACCACUGAGCCCUCAUCUUAGGGCACCGAGGCCCGGACUCCUGCAGCCGCAUGUCCAGGCCCCUCCUGCCUUAGCACGGAGCUCCCUUGACUGCUCCAAACAGCCCAGACUGGCGCCUUUUUUGGAUAAAUUAAAACGGGGCCAAUCCGUUGCCAGCGAUUGGCUAACGAUGGGUACACGACCUAGUACGGGCCAGGGAGAAGUAAGCGAGGUCUGUUGAGGCAGAGUUUCGGGAAAGAUCUUCUAGUUAAAAGGGGAGUUGGGUGGGUGGGGGCUGUUUUCUUCCUGUUGUCCUUGCCCAGUGUAAGUUUCCUGGAGCUGCAGCAGCCUUUUUGUCACCAUGAGGGCAGCUGGUGGGAACCCUAGGAAAGCAGGAAAUCACCUAGAGCCGGAACAGCCUGAGCCUCUGAACCAACCCACAGCUGACUACCCGUCACUUUGUCGUGUCUCUGUGAUUUGAGUCCAUCAUUCUGCUGCAGUUGAAGUUCUACAGACUGUACACGAAGCAACGGUGUCAGCAUCUGCUUCCAGUGGGGCCUCAGGAAGCUUUCAAUCAUGGCAGAAGGCCAAGGGGCAGCGGGGUCUCACGUGGCAAGAGAGGGAGGAGGAGGUGCCAGCCUCUUUAAACAAUCAGCUCUUGCAUGAACUCUUAGAGCCAGAACUCACUCACUACCUGGAAGACGGCAUGGAGACAAUAAUGAGGGAUCCACCCCCAUGACCCAAACUCCUCCCACUAGGCCCACCUCCAGCACUGGUGGUCACAGUUCAACGUGAGAUUUGGAGGGGACAAACAUCCAAACCGUAUCACCCCUCAACCCCUCAACUACACCUGGUUUGCUCCUUGUUUUCUAGAUUUUGACUGAAAUGUCCCCUUCCCGGCAAAGCCGUGUGGACCACCCGGGCUAAAGCAGCCACCUGGUGCUGGCCUGUGUGGCCCAAUUCCAGUUCUCCAGGGUGCUCAUCACUCUGUGGCAGUUUGUCUUCUGGUUUGUGAGAGAAGAAUAAAUCUGAGGGACCCAAAAUCACUAAAGGGAAAAGUCAAGCUGGGAACUGCUUAGUGCCAACCUGCCUCCCCUUCUAUUCAAAGUCACCCCUCUGCUCAAUGAAAUAAAUGCAUAUCUGAUUGCCUCCUUUGGAGAGGCUCAUCACAAACUCAAAAGAAUGCAACCAUUUGCCUUUUAUCUACCUAUGACCUGGAAGCCACCUCCCGCUUCGAGUUGUCCCGCCUUUCCGGACUGAACCAAUGUACAUCUUACAUAUGUUGAUUGAUGUAUCUCCCUAAAAUAUAUAAAACCAAACUGUGCUCUGACCACCUUGGGCAUGUGUCAUCAGGACCUCCUGAGGCUGUGUCACGGGCGUGCAUCCUCAACCUUGGCAAAAAUAAACUUUCUAAAUUAACUGAGACCUGUCUCAGAUAUUCGGGGUUCACAAGCUGAUGUUCUGUACUCUCUCCGCAACCCCCCAGAGUGCUUUGUUCCCUGCUGUCCAGAGCCAGGCACACUGCAGGCACUCAGGAAAGAAGUGUGCCAACAGAGAGUUCGCUAGUUAGCCUGGCACCUUUGAUUUCAUUUAAUUAUUACAGUAAUACCGCAGGACUAUCCUCAUUUUCAGACAAAAAAACUGAGGCUCAGAGAAGUUACCCAUGGUGUCCACGGCCGCAAGGCCACCAAGUGGCAGACCUGAAUUCAACCAAGUCCAUCUGGUUUCCCACCCUUCUGCACCCAGUAGCCUUUGGGUUCCCAUGUAAAGCCUCCUUAUUAAGCUGCAAGUCUUCCUGAAAACAAGGUGAGUUAGACAAAAACAAACAAACGAAAACAGCAACCCACAGCUCUAGCUUGUCAGGUACCCCAAAGGCCUCCAUUUCCCAGUGGCAUUUUCUGGGCACCCUGCUGGGGAGUGACGUGCAAGGCCCAGGGCAUGGCUUUCUGACAUGAGCCUCUGUUGCACACGCUUGUGUACUCUUUAUUCUGCAUCUGAAGUGGCUUGUGCAGGGCCAUGUGUGAUUAAGGGGUUUGUCUGCUUCCCCACCAGACUCCUUGCUGGUCCCGCUUACCAGCCAGUUGCCGGGGCCUGUACUGCCCCGGGGCCGUGUAUUCCAGGCUUGGCUUCAUGCCAUGCCCUCUCCACCUCUCUCCUCCUGCGAGGUGCAGCCAGUGUUGCAUGGGGACUUCCCAUCGUGGCUCAGGCUUGCUCCUCUGACCUCUCCUGGCACUUGGUCCUCCAAAGGAGCUCCCCUUUCUGCUGGCCAUCUGCGUUUGCUCACCUGGACUUGCUGAGGGAGCUCGGGUGCCCUGUGUGUGCUUAUCUGUGUGUCCCGGCGCCCGGCACAGGCAGGGCCCAGAGUGGGUGCCUGCUCGAGGCCAGGGGAUGGGUGAGUUCAGCAGUUAGCUGUGGGGUGUCUGCUUAGGCCCAGCCCUUGGGGGCCUCUAGGAGGGGUCCCCCUGCUCUCCUGCCCUCCUGCCCUCUCUGCAGGAGAGGCUCCAGUGAAGCAGACACAGCUCGAUGUUAAGUGAGACAAGUCGGUGAGAAUGCACAAGCCACGCAGGCGCUGCUUCGUGAUUUUCUCAUAACAUCUGACACUUGUAUGUUCAAAUCGCAUCACUAAAGAGUAGCUGCAUAGGUCUGUCUAUGGAGGGUCUCCCACUUUGCUGUCUCUUGUCUCUCCUGUCUAGCCUCGGUCUUUAGCCCUCUCCUCUCCCUGUGGACAGGGCAGUUGUUCUAGCCCAAGAGGAUUAGAACCUGAAGGAUGCCCUUCUCCCUAUAAGGGAAGCCACACAUUUGUUUUGGUGAGGGUCAUGGUUUUGUUCCAAUAUCAUUUUAGCUUAGGCUGUAUUUUCUUUUAUAAGACUCAGUUUAAGACUUUUCUACCUGCUCAUAAAAAUGAGAUUAAAAAAAGAGAAAGACUUUUCUAAAUGCAAUCCUUAUAAUAAUCCAGGAAUACUUCAUUAAAACAAAAAAGAAAGUAACAAUCCACUAUUUUUCAACUUUCUUUUUUUUUUGACGGAGUUUUGCUCUUGUUGCCCAGGCUGGAGUGCAAUGGUGCGAUCUCGGCUCACCGCAACCUCCGCCUCCCGGGUUCAAGCAAUUCUCCUGCCUCAGCCUCCCGAGUAGCUAGGAUUACAGGCAUGCGCCACCAUGCCCAGCUAAUUUUGUAUUUUUAGUAGAGACGGGGUUUCUCCAUGUUGGUCAGGCUGGUCUCGAACUUGUCCCCACCUUAGGUGGUCCACCCGCCUUGACCUCCCAAAGUGCUGGGAUUACAGGCGUGAGCCACCGCACCUGGCCUCAACUUUCAAAAUAAUGUCUCUACAUGCAGACUUUUGUAAUCUAAGCCAGUGCCCUGAAUUAUUUUCUGACAUUGUAAAUGUGCUUUUUAAGGAUGAUAAACAAAGAUAAUUAUUUAAUAUCAAAAGACUUUAGGCCAGGUGCGAUGGCUCACGCCUGUAAUCCCAGCACUUUGGGAAGCUGAAGUGGGUGGAUCACUUGAGGUCAGGAAUUCGAGACCAGCCUGACCAACAUGGUGAAACCCCGUCUCUACUAAAAAUAAAAAAAAUAGCCAGGUGUCAUGGCGGGCACCUGUAAUCCCAGCUGCUCAGGAGACUGAGGCAUGAGCAUCACUUGAACCUGGGAGGCAGAGGUUGCAGUGAGCCAAGAUCUCACCACUACACUCCAGCCUGGGCAACAGAGUAAGACCCUGUCUCAAAAAAAAAAAAAAAAGAAAAGACUUUAUGACCAGUGCAAAUUAGAGAUCUAUAUGACACUGUAUAACGUAUAUGCCCAAGUCUGUCUCACAAUGGUACUCUAAACACUCGCUAUAUACAGAAGGUAAGAAUUUUAUAGUCAUUUUGCAUUUUCUUCAAAGGUGCUGUUGAUAAAUAAAAAUAUUAAUAAACCACAAAUGUACCUUCCAAAGUCAAUAGUUUUAUGUUUGAAUGGAAAGUACUAUCUCCCAUCUUAACCUACCCCUGCUUCUAAGAGCUUGACAAUGUUUGUUAAAUGCCACACACCAGUGUCCUUUCUAAGUCAUGUUUUAUUUCAACAAUAGAUUGAAAUUUUACCAUGAUGUUUUAUAUUUCAUCCUAAGUUUUUUUAUUUUCAAGUGUAUGAAGUCACAUCAGUUAUGUCUGAUAAUCCAUUUUGGACAUGUAUUUUCAUAUAAAUUAUAGGACAUUUUUGCCUUUCAGUUCUCACAACAUAGUAAGGAAAAAAAAAAAACCCCCAGCAUGUGGAAAUAUGACUGAUGCCAUGUUAGUGUGUGGUUGGAAAUAAUAAAGAUUAUAAAUGACUCCAUAGGUGUAGAAAAUAAGGGGAGAAGACUUAUUGGGGAGAAGUAAAAAAGCUUGUUUUCUUUAUGCAUAGCAGAAAGAAGGCACCAUGACUGAUAUAUUACUAUUCACCUUCUUUUUAUUUCUAAGGGGGUUUUUAUUAACCCCUUUUUAUCAAUCAAAAUAAAUUGAUUGCCAGUGAAUGCAAUAUUUUCUGACUAUUUGAAAUUAUACAAUGAAAGCAAAGACAUGUAAACUCACAUACUACAUUUGCUGACAAACAAGAGACAACCUUUCCCCCAAAAAAGGAUUGCUAAAUAGUUAAAGAUUGUUACAGCUAUCUCUUAAAAAAAGAACAUUUUAGGCCAGGCAUGGUGGUGCUCACCUGUAAUCCCAGCACUUUGAGAGGCCAAGGCAGAGGAUCUUUUGAGCCCAGGCGUUGGAGACCAGCCUUGGAAAUAUAGGCGACCCCCAUCUCUAUAAAAAAUAAAAAUAAAAGUAGCCUGGUGUGGUGGCACAUGACUGUGGUCCCAGCUAUUCAGGAGGCUGAGGCAGAGGAUCCCUUGAGCCUGGGUGGUCUAGGAUGCAGUGAGCCAUGGUCACGCCAUUGCACUCCAGCCUGGGUGAAAAAGCAAGACCCUUUUUCAAAGAAAAUAAUAUUUUAUUUAAGGAUAGGAUUAGGCCUUGGGAUUCCUUUGGAAUUCAACUUCAUCCAGCUGUGUUAGUGGUCAUGUAGUCAUUAAAUAUCAGAAUACUGUUAUUUAAUAAAUAUACCCCAUCAUAAAAGGUCAUAUUUCUUUAGGGCAAAUACAGUUAGGACCAAUCUCCGUCCUGGGCAAGGACUUACCUGAUUCAAGAGGGGAGAAAACAGGGUGGUCAGGAAUACAUUUGUGAUUCACUCCCUGAAGAGGCAGUCUGGUGACGUGGUUUGGCUGUGUCUCCACCCAAAUCUCUUCUUGAAUUGUAGCUCCCAUGAUUCCCACGUGUUGUGGGAGGUAAUCAAGUCAUGGGGGUGGGUUUUUCUUGUGCUGUUCUCCUGAUAAUGAGAAGUCUCAUGAGAUCUGAUGGUUUUAUAAAGGGGAGUUCCCUGCAUAAGCUCCUUGCCUGCCUCCAUGUGAGACAUGACUUUGCUCCUCCUUUGACUUCUGCCAUAAUUGUGAGGCCUUCCCAGCCAUAUGCAACUGUGAGUCCAUUAAACCUCUUUCCUUUAUAAAUUACCCAUCUUGGGUAUUUUUUUUUUUUUUUUUUUUUUUUUUGAGACAGAGUUUCGCUCUUACUGCCCAGGCUGGAGUGCAAUGGCACAAUCUCAGCUCACCGCAACUUCUGCCUCCCAGGUUCAAGUGAUUCUCCUGCCUCAGCCUCCUGAGUAGCUGGGAUUACACGCAUGCGCCACCAUGCCUGGUUAAUUUUUUAUUUUUAGUAAAGAUGGGGUUUCUCCCUGUUGGCCAGGCUGGUCUCAAACUCCCAACCUUAGGUGAUCCACUCGCCUCAGCCUCCCAAAGUGCUGGGAUUACAGGCGUGAGUCACUGCGCUGGGCCAGUAUGUCUUUAUUAGCAGCAUGAAAACUGACUAAUGCAUCCGGUCACUCUUAGCACAGUGACAUUGAAUGUGCACAAACUAAAAAAUAAGGUUUCAACCAAACUGGUGAGAGCAUUCCUCUUGGUGUUCUCUAGGAAGAAGGCCAGAGGGUUUGGGACAAUAGAAAUAAAACACAGUGGUUUUGAAAAUGGGGCCAAACUGUGCUUCCCCGUGGCGGGGCUGAGAAGGAGGGAGCAGGGCACUGAGCCCGCUGUUCUUUCGGCCCUGGGCUCUCUGCCUCCUACCAUCAGCCCUCAGGGCAGCUGCUCCUCGCUGACCACCUGGCUGCUGAUGGGCUUGGUGGCCAGCAGAGCUGCCCCGUUUUGUCUGUGCAGAGUCAGCCAGACGUGGCUCAGCGCAGCUCUUUCCCUCGGUUUCAUGGAGUAAAGGGUUCCUCAUUAGGGCCCCACACAUCCGUCUCUCAUCAUAGGAGGGUGACUUUCUUCCUGCAUCUCCCGUUUCCACUUAGUCAUUUCAACCAGCGGCAAACUGGAAAAAGAACGUAUAUGUUAUGGUGGCAAAGUCUGAAGGUAAUGUUGGCAUGGAGUGUUUCAAUAAGAUGUUUCUUUUGAUUAAAGCAUAUUUCAUAUGAUGGGCAAGUAAUAGAUACAACCUCAGACGUAGGCUAAUCAUGGAGUCAACAGCAAACUUCUACUUGACUCCUAGGAAACUAGCUCCCUCACCAGAACAUUACCGCUGUAUUUCUUUCUUUCUUUCUACAUACCAUCAGGCAACUGGGGCCUAUGCAUCCUUAAGAAUUAGUGGUUUGUUUUUUCUUUUCUUUUUUGGUUUGUUCUAGAAGAAGAAAUUUAAAGCCAGCCAUUGUUUUACAGAAAAAUCAUCCUGCCAUUGAAACCCAAAGUGGUCCAUCCAGUCUGGAGGCCGUGGGAACCAUGAAUCCUUUCAGAGUUUGAAGCAAAUGCAAAACUGUUCACGUCAUCCUGGGUUAUUUUAUUGUCUCACCACCUUCCUGAAAUGGAGCUCGAACUUCAUUUAGAGUAGCUCUCGGGCACGCUGGCAGGGGGGCUCCCAGAGCUGAGUGAGCAAGGGGUGCAUUGAGAAGCAGGCGUUCUGCCCCGACCGGCCCACCUCACUCUCCGCAGAGGGAGGCAUUUGUGGUGGGCCAAUGUGCAUGCAGCCCCAGGCUGGACAACUCCAGAAGAAACUCAAGAACACAAAUGUAGAUGAUUAACCAAAAUAGUCUGUUCCAUCUUCCUGCACUGGGGGGAAAUGCCUCUUGUAUUUUAGAGGAGAGAGAGAAUGGGAAGGAAGCCACUGCAGGUGUGGCAGACAUUGGAGGACUCAGGUCAAGUAUAAAACUGCUGUGGCCACGGAUUUAACUAAGUUUCAACCAAGUAGCUUUCCAGGUUGGGUGACAUCUGCUACAUGCUAGAACUAGCUGUGGAGUCUGUGCUUUGGCCCCAGUUUGGAGUCCAGAACUAUUAGCAUGUAUCACCGAGUUGUGUUUGUAAGGGUUGUGUGUAUUUUUAGUGCUUCCCAGAGCUUUCUACCCUGAUCGCCUUCCACAGGUAGAAGCGGCUGACUGUACCUGGUACCUGGGGCCACUCCAGAGGUCCCCUCUGGGAGGUGAUGCCUCUGUGCACAAGCAGCCUGUGCAAGAAUGUCAAGGUCAGCGGAAGAGAGGGCACACGCCCUCCAAGGAGGUGGUGUGGGUUGGGACUCAGUGUCCUGGAAGGGACCUCCUUCAGGCAAGAGCUCUUGGAGUCAGACGGCACGAAAGAACCUGAGUAUAGAACUUCUCAGGUCUCUAAGGAAUUACAUCUGAUUCUAUAAGAAUCAGAAGUUUGUUGGCCAGGUGCAGUGGCUCACAUCUGUAAUCCCAGCACUUGGAGAGGCUAAGGCAGGAAGAUCACUUGAGCUCAGGAGUUGGAGACCAGCCUGGGCAAUAUAGUGAGACCUCAUCUCUAUUAAAAAAAAAAAAAAAAAGUUUGUGACACCAAGGAAAGCUCAUCUGGGUCCUUAGUUUCUUAGAUAUGAAACAUGAACUACAAAUAACAGCAGAAAAUUAACUCCAUCUGGACUUGGAGGAUAAAUACACAUAUGCACACACAUGCACACAAUACUAUUUACAUAUAAAACAUUGUGACUCAAACGGAGAGAAAAUGCAGCUGCAUGUAAACAUCUGUGGUGAUUAGGUAUACCCACUCAGUGACCAACAAAUUGCAUUCAGUGUGUCUGGGGUGAUCGCCUCAGGAACUGGGCCUUCGGUUAGUAACGAUGCUUUGGAAGCAUGUAUGCCAGUCAUAACAUGUGGAGGGCUUUUCCUCUCUCCCUCCCUGUGUUAACAUGCUUUCAUAUGGCUAGUACAGUCUUGAUAAAUCUUGCAGGAUCUCAAAUAGCCUAGUGAAACGGGAAGAGAAGAAGGUGUUAAAAGUUUGCAGGUCAGGGGAAAAGCACGUGUUUUGGGUGAGUCGGUGGAGCCUCCACAAAUACAGCAUCGGUUUGUGUGAAUUCUCAGCUGUGGUUUCUCAGGUUGAAUAAAGCCACUCAACAAAGGCUGCUGUUUCUCCAGCCUGAAGAGGCACUUAUGCCACCUACAGCCUGGAAUCUGGCACUACAAUUCGCGCCCAAGUCCCUGGCUCAUCCUAGGUGGGAGAUUAGAAUCUAUGUAGGGAAUGGAAAAUGGGCAGGCAUUCCAGGGUGAGUUUUUCUUCCCCCCCGAUAAAUUGUAAACAAACAAUUACAAACAUGUUUGAAAAUUGUUUUAACUAGUUUUUAGAGAUUGCAAUAGCUGGGUUGGGAUUUAUGAACUACAUUUCUUAUAAAUACAUUUCUUCUAGAGAACUUCUUGUGGGACGUAAUCACUUUUCCCCUCUGUAUAGCAGCCCCACAACUCAACCCAAAGCUAGGUUAGGCUACUGGGUACACACUUACCCAGAUAGUCUUAGCUUCUUAGGGGAAACCAGAUUACUGUGAAGCCAUCAGAUAAGACAUACUUCUGAAAAGAAAUGGAAUGUAUUUUUAUUGGCAGAGUCAAGAUGAAGUAUGUUUUGAAAUCUGUUUUACAAAUAAACUUACACAUAAAUUGUCCAUCCACUACUUGGAAAUCUUUUUUCGUGUUUGAGGAGCUGUCAGAGGUCUCUAAUAAACAGUGAGUCUUAUUUAGUUUACUGGAUAUGUAAUUCUUCUUUUCUUUGAAAAUAAUUAUUUUUCAAGCAAGUGCAGCAAAAAUACAACCAAUAAAAAUCUAGCUAUGACAGCAUAAACAACCUUUAUGGCAUGCAUAUACAUAGACUUCUUCCAAUAAAAGCAGUUCCUGGCAAGAAAGGGAACAGAAAAUUGGCUGAUGUGUUCCCAGAUAAGUUCUGGACUCUUAAGGGCUGAGAGAAGAGUCCUCACAGCCCAUCUCCAACUCCCCAUCCCAGACCGGUCCUUGGUUAGCGUGAGGGAGGCAGGUCCCCAUUGCCAGAGUGGCUUGGGCUAAGGAGAAGGGAC
rnacentral:lncRNA from 1 species